GCCAAGGAAGUGACCAAAUUCUCUGGAGUUUUUCCUACCCAUGAAUGUCCAUCAUCCCAGGCUGGUGCAGGUCUGUCUGGUGUACAUUAUCCUGGGCUGCAGGUCUGUCUGGCCUAGGCUGAGACUCUAGAAACAGACCACUUACCUCUCCAAUCUCUGUGAAGCCUGACUGUGGCAUCGGGGAAGGGCUCAUCUUUCCUUGGAUCCGUGUCCUGGGAAAAGGGCGAGGUGGAGUAAGGGACCCCAAAGACCCCUUGAACCCCUCCUCAGUUCUCUCAAGGCCUUCCCUGACUGGCAGGUUUUAAAGAACAACUUAUUGACAGGACCUGCUUAUAGGGACCCUUGGGAGAUGAAUACAGUCACAUGUGUGGAAUGGACUUGGGGAGGGGAGCAAACGGAUGCUAUAAGCCGACACUCAGAAUUUAACUAAAGACUCAAGGAGGCGGGGGAGAAGGAUCCGUGGUAUUAACGCUUGCUGUGCAAGAAUGGGGACCUGAAUUUAGAUCCCCAGGGCCCACUGCAAGCUUCUGUGACCUCAGUACUCCUAUGGUGGAGACCUGAGGGACUCUGUAGCCCACAGGCCAGCUCAGCUAGCCUGGGUUCCACAGCAGAAAGACAACAGAGAAAUCAUGCUCAGACAAGGUGGAAGGUGAAAACAGACAAAGACAUCACCCUCUGGGCUUCUGUGCUUAUGAGUGUGCACACAACCCAGGAUUCAGAUGGCUGCACCCCCUCAGAGGCUUUGCCACGCAUAGUUGUUCACUUACGGCGACCUCAGUCUGAGUGCCCUGUAUCCUUCCGCUGAGAAUGAGUGAAGGGUCUGAAUAGAAUGGGGCUGGCUCUGGCUCCUAGCGGCGGCUGCUUCCCUCUGCUCCCCCCAUGAGUUCUGCUAGGUCUCUUCUCUCGUUGGCUUCUACUGGCCUUCCCUAAACAGAAGGACACCUUGACCUGCCAGGUUCCUCUGUGAGACUGUCCCUGGUCCCAUCUGUUCUGUGUCCUGUCUCCUGAGAGCUCUGUGGUGAGCAGAUCUGCCCCUCCUUUGUUGAGCUAUGCAUCACAGGGCUUAGCCAGAGGCCUGGAAUGCAGGAGGUACUCAGUAGACGCCUAGGGUGACUUCAGGGCAGGCUGAGUGGAUCAAGGGCUCUUACCUGGCCUGUGCAGAGGGGAGGGUGUGGAAUGUGAGGUAGAGCAAGGAAAGCCUAGGCUGUGAGCACCAGAGUCUCUUUAGAAGGUUGUCUUGGUCCCGGCAUAGGCUCUCACGGUGUGACAUUGUGAUGCCCAUGAGAUCAGGGCUCUCACGGUGUGACACUGUGGUGCCCAUGAGAUCAGGCUCUCAUGGAGUGACAUUGUGACACCUACAGCCUCGGGGGUUCCCAUUUAGACUUUUGGUAUGGCACAGGCCUCAGUUAUUUUUGAAGUCACACUAAGACAUCUCUGAGGGACUGUGAAUGACAAAUGAGUCAUCUGGGGACAUUCUCAACUUCGCAGUGUGUGGCCAUCAAUCUGAGUGUUGGGUGAGCAUGGGCUAUGUCCAAAGGGCCUUGGCGAUCCCGAGAAGCAGUGUACCACUGACAGACUCUCAGAAUGACAAGGAAAUGCAUGGAAGUCACAUGUCAUGGUCUGGAAACUGGCAAAAGACACAGGCUGGAGGCAGCAAGAACACACAGUCCCCAGUUUCUCACUGUGGCUUGCCGUUUCCGGGGCAAGCCACUUCCUAGCAACUAGCUGCCCUGGGACCUCAGCACUGGUAAGAACCUCAUUGGUCCCUGUACAACCUUGGCUUCACACAUCCCAGGUACUUGGUCCUGGUCUUCUGUACCCUUUGCUCUUUGAUGAACCUCGGAAUUCUGUCUGAGUGACCAUCAAACCUGAUAACAUCAGGCAUGGCAGCAGCCUAGGGGUGUUCUUAGAACACACAGACCAGAGCUGGAGAGUUCAGAGUGUAAAGAUGCUUGCCACCAGGCGCCACACAGCCUGAGUUUGGUCCCUUGCCCUCUGACCUCUUCCUGUGUGCCUUGGCAUGUGUAUACCAUGUGUACACACUUAUACACUCUCAAACGAACAAAUAAAAGCACCAUUAAAAAGAACAUAGAGCUGGGUGGUGGUGGCGCACGCCUUUAAUCCCAGCACUCGGGAGGCAGAGGCAGAUGGAUCUCUGUGAGUUCAAGGCCAGCCUGGUCUACAGAGCAAGUUCCAGGACAGGCUUCAAAGUUACACAGAGAAACCCUGUCUCAAAAAACCAAAAAGAAAAAAGGAAAGAAAACAUACAAACCAGCAUGUGCCCACAUGCAUGGAAGCUGCAAACACAGAACAAGGCUCCUCAUUCCCUGUGGUGUGUUUGGGUUCAGUCUCUGAGGUUGCUGCCUGUGGAGGGUGCCAGGCGCCAGGCCAACAAAGGGCUCCUGUGAGGACAGAACUUGGAUCCAGAUUCCUGGGAAGAGAAAUGUCCGCUCAAAGACUCCCCAUCCAGGCACAGGCAACAUUCCGCCUUGCAGAGGCUGAAUGGCCCUUUGCAGUCAUUCCUAAAAUCCCAGAGCGCAUGGGAGACAGAGUGUGUCCUUCUGGAUUUGCUGAAGCUCUGCUCCUGACAGUCAGUGGGGCACAGAAUGCUCACCCCCUGAGCAGGCCCAGGGUAAAUAUCUCCUCAUUCAGGAGCUGGCCAGCAAGGCAGAGUUCCUUCGUGCAUCCACAGAUGGCGGAGAGGGCAAGUGCCAUCCUUUCUGGCUACAGCGUGCAGGGGGCAGAAGUGAGGGGAAGCUUAGUCGCCAUGUCUUAGGAGGGGCUGAGCUCUGAUGGCCCCCACAGAUCGCAAGCUGGUUAAGGCCCCCGUUAGGUAAGUGAGGACUGGUAAACUCUUAAAAUUCCAGGGAUCUAAGUAAACCAAGCACUCAGGCAUGCAGGAGGGCUCGCAGGGAGCCUGGUUUCAUAGCAUCUGACAGCCAAGCAGAACCUAGAUAGGGCGGACAGCACCAGGCCAUGAAUUAUUCCUGCGUAAUGACUCUGACCGACCAAGACAAAAGCUGUCCUGACUUCAUUACUCUGCUGCAUCUUAUUUAUUCUAAGCCUGCUCAGCAGAAGACCCAGAAGACAUCUUCUUUCCCCCCAGUGCAGACUUGCCCUCCCCACACAGAAUCGCCUGCAUCUGAUCCCAAAGCUCACAAAUCAAUUAUUCCCAGCCUGGAAACUCCUGGAGGUCACUGUAGACAGACUGAAAAGGAGACCCGAUUUGUCUGUCUUCGGUUCAUUAGCUCCGAGUGUCCGCACAUUCCCUGCACCCUUGCUGGAGGGGCUUCAGCCUUUUCUAAGGAAGGGCUAUUUCUGAUUUCCCUGAGGUCCGAGGACUCUUGGAAAGAGGCGGAAGCUGGCUGGCUAAGGACACCUUCUCUAGGUCAUUACGGAGCCAUUCAAAGAGGACACUCUGGAAGUGGUGCCACGUGGAGCUUCUUUUCCAGGCGGGUUCCAGCCCCACCCCUCUGAGGCGGGCUAUGCUAUGCCAUCCUUUUCCUUAGUUCCAGUGGCCUGUGUGUGAAGGGGAGGUGCAGACCCAUCCAAGGCUUUACCAGAAAGCUAAGGCUCAAAUCCCAGGAACACAGCAUUGCAGUGACCUAGAUAACUCAGGCCCUGAUGACUUCAAGGCAAUCCCAAGAGACAUGGGAAUGAAGGGGAAUCGGGUACCAGGAUGCAGAGCGAGCACCUGCCCUGACUGAGGAGGAAGACAGAUACAUGCACUUAAGGAGAAUUAGCCCCAGACACAACAGAUGAAAUUUGGUGGUGAUCUUGACUGACCGAGGUUGGGUUUGCCUGUUUAGAAAGGGGAACCAGACUGAAGGACAUCACACAGAGGAAAGCUAAGAUGCAAAGACCUUCAUGAGAUGCUGCCUCCCCUGGAGGCAGACCUUAGGGCUCUUCCCAGGGUUGAGGAGGGGAGAAAUGGGAGCAGUGUUCGGAGACGUUCUGGUUAUUAUAGCUGGGAGGAGCUGCUGCUGGUGUGAAGAAAGGAGAAGCCAAGCACUCUUCCCCACCUUCCACAGACCUCAGGAGGCCUCAGGACCCACAGUGAUUCAAGGUCAAGGGUGUGAAGGCUGAGACUCCGGCAGAGAGGGGAAGACCACCAUGAUAAAAUGAACAAAGCUGAGUUUCCAUGAGGAACCUCAGCCCAGGAUGUGUGGACAGUAUUAGAGUCUUACUUCAGAGCACCAGAGAAGGAGCAGCAGGCCCCCACUCACAAACCACACCCCUCUGACUGACAGUGGGUGCUGCCCAUAAUUAGAAAGUGCAGCAGGAUACAGCCAGGGACUUCUGAAUCACAGUCCUUGGCAGGGUUCAUCUUCCCAGCAGCCAUGCAGGCAAAGGAUACCUGGUCUCAUGAGGCUCUCAUCCUGGCUGAGUUAUGGGUGAAGAGAAUGAUUCGGUCCCUCUCCAAGAUGCUCUCCCUCCUAUUAUUAAGAUAUUCCAUCAAAACAGAGACUCUUGCUGUGUCUGGUGCUAUUAAUAGUUCUCCGCUGGUGACAUCACCCACAUCCCUAGAGAAACAUAAAGUUUCAAUUACUGCAAUUCAAAAGAAUUCUUGCAAGCCUGGACAGAUAGACAGAGAUAUUAGAUCGGAGAGGACAGAAGAAGGUGCUAGGUGGGGGUUGGGGAGGGAGGACUUUAAUCCAGCUCUGGGUAGUGUUUGAAUAUGACAAUGGAAUUCAUCACUGCGGGAAGUGGAACCCUUCUUUGGCUUGUGACCGUAUUAAAUAUAAUUUGCUACUAAAGGCACCAGAUACAUUUAGCUGGAUAUUGGAAAGGGUCGAAGAAAGAUCUACUGAGAUAAAGGUUUGGACAGCUUGUCGCGUAUGAGCCAUCACUAGCCACCCGAUGAUGUACACAUACCUCUACAAGUUAGGAAAAAGGGAGAAAAGCUGAGGAAGCUUCUCAAACCUUUUCUUAAAUGGUGUUUUCGUUUCUGUUUCUGUCUCAGAAAUGCGGAGCACAGCCGUUCUCAUUAACGCAGAUUUUAAUGGGAGAUAUUCGUCUGCAUUGCUCCGUGGUUUCUGCUUGCAUGGGGCUGCCAUUAACAACAAGUGUAAUAGCAUCUUUGAGCUUUUUAAUUAAAAAUUAAUUAGGAGAUUUAAGC